CAGAAUUGCAACAUUCAAGCAGUGUUGAUUCAAUAUGUGUUCCUACUACGAAAGUUGUUCCAACACCUCUAUCAGAAUUUUCACAGGAACUUGUUGCUGUCAAUAAUUUAAGCAUGGAAUUUCCAGUUAGCAUGGUCAACUUGUUGCAGGCACAAUCACCAUUGGAAGGAGAAUGUGGGUUGUUUAGCUCUCAAUUCACAAGUGCCGGGGCCAAGAGUUAUAAUGUUGAAGUAGAUCCACCUUUUUCAAUUGACAAGAGUCACCAAGCGUCAUAAUGUUGAAUUUGGGUUGUUCAGCUCUCAAUUAACAAGGGUUCCAUAAUUUGUUACAACUCUGUUUUGAUUUAGAACGUUUGUUAUGUUUGUCCUGUCUUGGUAUUUGAACUUAUUCUGAUAUUUGGCAUCUCUGCCCUCCUAUGGUGUUGAAGUAU